rfam:Human immunodeficiency virus type 1 p17 protein (gag) gene, partial cds.
GGCCAGGAGGAAAGAAAAAAUAUGCACUAAAACAUUUGAUAUGGGCAAGCAGGGAGCUAGAACGAUUUAAACUUAAUCCUGGCC